rnacentral:rRNA from 1 species
CCGCAAUGGACGAAAGUCUGACGGAGCAACGCCGCGUGAGUGAUGACGGCCUUCGGGUUGUAAAGCUCUGUUAAUCGGGGCGAAAGGCCUUCUUGCGAAUAGUUAGAAGGAUUGACGGUACCGGAAUAGAAAGCCACGGCUAACUACGUGCCAGCAGCCGCGGUAAUACGUAGGUGGCAAGCGUUGUCCGGAAUUAUUGGGCGUAAAGCGCGCGCAGGCGGAUAGGUCAGUCUGUCUUAAAAGUUCGGGGCUUAACCCCGUGAUGGGAUGGAAACUGCCAAUCUAGAGUAUCGGAGAGGAAAGUGGAAUUCCUAGUGUAGCGGUGAAAUGCGUAGAUAUUGGGAAGAACACCAGUGGCGAAGGCGACUUUCUGGACGAAAACUGACGCUGAGGCGCGAAAGCCAGGGGAGCGAACGGGAUUAGAUACCCCGGUAGUCCUGGCCGUAAACGAUGGGUACUAGGUGUAGGAGGUAUCGACCCUUCCGUGCCGGAGUUACGCAUAAGUACCCGCCUAGGGAGUCGACCGCAAGGUUGAAACUCAAAGGAAUUGAC